ACCUUAAACUCCACAACCCUGCUGCCUGCCUCAGACCUGAUGACCCCACUACAUGAAUGCCAAGAGACCCUCCAGGACAUAACCUCGACCAGACCUGAUUUGCAGGAUGUGGCCCUAAAAGACCCUGAGGAGACAUUCUUCACAGAUGGAAGCAGUUUCAUCGAGCAAGGAGUCAGGAGCUGCAGAAUCGAGUUCGGGAGGCCAGGCCAGCCCCUCAACCUGAGGUUAUUCAUCAUAAAUUUCAGCCUAGAGAUCUGGUACUGGUAAAGAGACAUUCAUCUAAGGCUCUGGCGCCAUUAAAGCGGCUCCUGAAGACACACCAGAGGACAAAUAAAAGAUCAUCAGUCAACCAGGUGACAAAAAAACAAAGAAGAAAAAGCAGCAAAUAAACGUAUGAAAAAAUGUUCAACAUCACUGGUCAUUCAAGAGAUGCAAAUGAAAACCACACUGAGAUUCCAC
ensembl:lncRNA